AUCUCUGUAUCAUACUGCACCCUUCCCAAUUUAUGUGCAAUCUCCUGUUGCUACAGCUAUCCAGAGUACUUCACUAACCACACUCAAUGAAUGUCCCCAAUAUCCUUGUUCUAUGCACUGAGGCCAAACCAUAGGUCCAUCAGCUUUUAAGUCUUAUGCUAGCUACUUUCUUUAUGAACUUCUGUGCUAGUAUUCCACAUGUUGCUAAUCCUAGCCACUUGAGAUCACACACGUAGGUUAAGAUCCAGGCAAGCUCGUUGGAAGUUAGUGUAAUCCUUGCUGUGAUCACAGUUGUGAAACACAUAAAUGGCACAAAAUGGAAAUUCACACACACAAUCAAAUUCCUCCCAGGAAAACUUUUAGGCAUCUACUGCUGUGUAUUAAGAGGAUUGUUCUCCAUUCCAUGUGCACAUAACUCCUAUUACCUCCUUCCCUGCUGCCAAAGAUAUCAGGUAGAUGCAACACAUCACCAGUUCAGCUGCAUACAUCUGAUGUGUGCUGACAUUCUGCUGUUACCUGUAGAACAUUCAUUUAAAUGGCAGUACUGGAGCCUAUUGUGAAAUCUAGCAAUGGGGUUCAUGAGCACUACAUGCUGAACAGUUCAAACAAAACUGUCUCAAAUUCUACUCUGCAUUACACUCAUGAAGUCAAUGGAGGGCAGAAUUUUACUCAAUGUGAAACUCAAGAUAUUUUUCCCCAUGAUUUUUUCCCCCUGUAUUAUUCAACCAGCUCUACAAAACAGUUGGUAAUUUACAAUUUAAAGGGACACAUCUUCAGGAAGAGUAGAUCGCUACCUGCAUGCUUCUGGGUGCAGUUCAUGGUUACAGUCUGUAAGGCAAUCUGUAUUCUCUAAGACCCAGUGAGGUGACAGAUCUCCUGUGUGUGUGUGUCCUGGUGUGGGGAAGUAGGCUAUUUGGAGACUGUGAGGAUGUGUGUAAUGUACCUUUUAAAAUUAGUUCUGGAAGAGCACAUCAGCAUAGGUCCAUUGAAUUCAGUCAAGCCACGCUGAUUUAUAUCAGCUAGGACCUGGCCCUUAAUGAAACUGCAGUACACUUUUUAUGAUGAUUCGCUCUGAGAUUCUACUGAUACUAUUUUUGUAGGUGGAGCUAAAGUCUGAGCUUGUUAAGUAAUAUCAGUGCCACUUUUCUUUUCAUAGAAACUCAUAAAC